UUAUUCACGAAGAUCUUCCUCCUCCUUUUGGAAAGGUAUCCUUGGCACACUUAAAUUAUUCAAGCAGCUCUUCCAACCAAAGCUUGGGAAAGGAGACCUUAUUUCUUUUUGGGAUGACCCUUGGUCCAUGGAUCAGCCCUUCUCGUUGGUAUUCCUCAACCUUCAUUUGUUGGCAAAGAACAAAAAUAUUUCUGUUGCAGAUUUAUUCUCAAAAAUCGGAAGAGUUCCCAAUCUUAUUUUGACGGAUCCUGAUAUUUUUCGGCACCCACUAAGCUCUCCAGCGAUCAGAGAAUGUCACGCUCU
rnacentral:lncRNA from 1 species